rnacentral:lncRNA from 1 species
GUCAGAACUGCUAUGUUCUUGGCAUAUUUUCUCAAGAUGGAUUUAUUCCAGUGAGUGCUGAUAACUGAAAGAAUUUAUUAAUGUCCCAUUCUGGGAUCCUCCUGGCUACUGAGAACAAUAAAAAAUAUAGUUAAUUGUUUUGACAAAUUCACCAAUGUUAUGUUUGGAUGCAUAGUUAUGUUUGUGAUUCUGAAUUUUACUGUUCUAUAGAUGUGGCUAAAGAAAUCUUCUUAUUCCUUUUACAUAGCAAUCCAAAAUAGCAGGUUUGGCUAGGCACAGUGGCUCACACCUGUAAUACUAGCACUUUGGGAGGCUGAGGUUGGUGGAUCAUUUGAGGUCAGGAGUUUGAGACCAGCCUGACCAACAUAGUGAAACCCCGUCUCCACUAAAAAUAUAAAAAAAAUUAGCUGGGCAUGGUGACACAUGCCUGUAGUCCCAGCUACUCGGGAGGCAGAGGCAGAAGAAUCACUUGAACCCGGGAGAUGGAGGUUGGAGUGAGCCAAGAUCACGCAACUGCACUUCAGCCCGGGCAACAGAACGAGACUCUGUCUCAAAAAAAAAGCAGGUUUGCAUUAUUUAUUUAUUUAUUUAUUUAGAGACAGGGCCUGGCUCUGUUACCCAGGCUGGGGUGCAGUGGCAGAAUCUUGGCUCACUGCAUCCUCUACCACCCGGGCUCAAACCAUCUUCCACCUCAGCCUCCUGAGUAGCUGGGAUCACAGGUGCACACCACCAUGCCCAGCUAAUUUUUGUAUUUUUUUUAGAGAUGGGGUUUCAGCAUGUUGCCCAGGCUGGUUUCCAACUCAUGAACUCAAGUGAUCCACCUGCCUUGGCCUCCCAAACUGCUGGGAUUACGUGCCUAAGCCACUGUGCCCAGCCUACAUUAUUUUUAGUAAUCAUUUUCACUAGUCUUUAUAAAGUAUGUGACUAUCUUUAUUAAUGUUUUAUGUUCUGAUAUAUGUUAUAUACCUAACUAUAAAGGUAAUAAAAAUGUUUUCUUCUACAGAACCCAAAGUCCUUCAACAUUAAAAAGAAUGUGUUCCUCCUAGUGCCUGAAACAUAGUUCUCUAAUAAAAAGAGUUCUAAAG